CAGCAGCCACGGUAAGACGUAGGGAGCAAGCGUUGUCCGGAAUUACUGGGCGUAAAGAGCUCGUAGGCGGGACCGUAAGUCUGAAAGGAAAUCUCAAGGCUCAACUUUGGGGCUUUUUCAGAUACUGCGGUUCUUGAGGGUAUCAGAGGAUAGUAGAAUUCCCGGUGUAGCGGUGAAAUGCGUAGAUAUCGGGAGGAAUACCAGUGGCGAAGGCGACUGUCUGGGAUAUUCCUGACGCUGAGGAGCGAAAGCGUGGGGAGCAAACGGGAUUAGAUACCCCGGUAGUCCCUGUCUCUUAUAA
rnacentral:rRNA from 1 species